CGGAUGAUGCUGCAACUGCGGAUACUCGUGGUAUCGAUGACCGCUUUAGCAUUUCGGUUCUCAUCAGCUUCCGUAGGCGUAGACAACAGAUACUACGACAAGGAGCAAUCCAAGAUCCUCAAAUUUUGGCCCACACGCACACUUCCGAUUCGUCCUCAACGCACGAAGCGUCGGACGUAAACAGGCCAAUAUUAUCAUCAAAGCUCCGACGGCCGCCAUAGCCGUUGAAGUGUUGAAUGAGGGAGAAGUUUAUGUUGACAAGGAGCACCUGAACGAUCGAUGCAAGCGCUUCCACGGAAGUUGCGAGAAACGCUGGAACGACCUAAGGGUGCCUCCGGCGAGCCACGAUGAGACAGCUCGUCAAAAAGCUUAUUCUGCAAGAAGUCACCAAACUGGUCGACCUUAAACAUACCUUCCUAAACGACGCCGUCAAGUUCAUCCUAGAUAGAAUAUCGACGCUUGCCGCCGUGUCCAACAGCAGCGCCGGUCCAAUCAGCAGCGGAAUACAAACCUCUUCCGCUUCUCUGGGGGGACAGCGUUAGUCACGGUGAGGUUGGUGGAAUGCAUCACCAAGUGCAUCACUGAGGGCCGAACCACUACUAUCGAGCGUCGGAAGUCUGAUGCGGGAAUGCAGGAGGUCGGGUUACGGACACGGACCUGGGGUCACAUGGCGUUGCCAGAUGUUCUAGCACAAACCGCUGCAGGCGGAUGCCGGUUGCCGGUCAGCUCCAAAUCA